rnacentral:lncRNA from 1 species
AAGCAAGUGGACUUGUUUUUAGGCUUGUAUGAAGCAUAAUUGCAACUUAUUCAUUUAUAUGCAAAAGCUAUUGCCCAUGUGAAUAUAAUUUGCAAACUCACAUGUGCAAAUGCAAACAUGUUGUGUUAUCCAUUGUUAAAGUGAUAAUAGGAGAUUAAGAGGAUGUCGAGCUCAAUAAGUCUGCUUGUACUUAGCAAAUGUCUCU